rnacentral:rRNA from 1 species
UACGAAGGGUGCAAGCGUUAAUCGGAAUUACUGGGCGUAAAGGGUGCGUAGGCGGUUCGUUAAGUCUGUUGUGAAAUCCCCGGGCUCAACCUGGGAAUGGCAAUGGAUACUGGCGAGCUAGAGUGUGAUAGAGGAUGGUGGAAUUUCGUGUGUAGGGGUGAAAUCCGUAAAUAUACGAAGGAACGCCAAAAGCGAAGGCAGCUCUCUGGGUCGCUACCGACGCUGGGGUGCGAAAGCAUGGGGAGCGAACAGG